rnacentral:rRNA from 1 species
CCUACGGGAGGCAGCAGUCGAGAAUCAUUCACAAUGGGGGAAACCCUGAUGGUGCGACGCCGCGUGGGGGAAUGAAGGUCUUCGGAUUGUAAACCCCUGUCAUGUGGGAGCAAAUUAAAAAGAUCGUACCACAAGAGGAAGAGACGGCUAACUCUGUGCCAGCAGCCGCGGUAAUACAGAGGUCUCAAGCGUUGUUCGGAAUCACUGGGCGUAAAGCGUGCGUAGGCUGUUUCGUAAGUCGUGUGUGAAAGGCGCGGGCUCAACCCGCGGACGGCACAUGAUACUGCGAGACUAGAGUAAGGGAGGGGGAACCGGAAUUCUCGGUGUAGCAGUGAAAUGCGUAGAUAUCGAGAGGAACACUCGUGGCGAAGGCGGGUUCCUGGACAUUAACUGACGCUGAGGCACGAAGGCCAGGGGAGCGAAAGGGAUUAGAUACCCUGGUAGUC